AUUGAACGCUGGCGGCAUGCCUUACACAUGCAAGUCGAACGGCAGCACGGGUGCUUGCACCUGGUGGCGAGUGGCGAACGGGUGAGUAAUACAUCGGAACGUACCUUAUCGUGGGGGAUAACGCAGCGAAAGCUGUGCUAGUACCGCAUACGCCCUGAGGGGGAAAGCGGGGGAUCGCAAGACCUCGCGCGAUUAGAGCGGCCGAUGCCUGAUUAGCUUGUUGGUGGGGUAAAAGCCCACCAAGGCGACGAUCAGUAGCUGGUCUGAGAGGACGAUCAGCCACACUGGGACUGAGACACGGCCCAGACUCCUACGGGAGGCAGCAGUGGGGAAUUUUGGACAAUGGGGGCAACCCUGAUCCAGCAAUGCCACGUGAGUGAAGAAGGCCUUCGGGUUGUAAAGCUCUUUUGUCAGGGAAGAAACACCGGCUCUAACACAGUCCGGGAAUGACGGUACCUGAAGAAUAAGCACCGGCUAACUACGUGCCAGCCGCCGCAGUAA
rnacentral:rRNA from 1 species